rnacentral:tRNA from 1 species
GCGGUAUGUAGUACAAUUUCGACCGGG